rnacentral:piRNA from 2 species
UGGCACACCCUUGCAGAGGUGGCUGGUUGC